AGUUCAAUUCUGGGGGUCGUCGGAAGCCUUACGUGGCCGGGAUGGUUCGGUGGCUGCUGAGAACUUUCCAAUCCAAUCGGUGGUUGGCGAACUUAACUAAUGCCAACUAACUAACUAACCAACAACAACUGUUAACGAGCCACAAAAGCCUGGCCACAAAAGAUAAGGGCCCAGAUGUUUUCAGGGGUGGCGCAGGGAUUGAUAGAGAGAGCGGAGGCGACGGGGUUGCCAAGAAGCAUUUCUAAUAAAUGAAAGCGAAACUUUAAUGAAAAAGUUACGUUUCAUUAACGUGUGCGUGCGUGUGAGUGUGUUAGCACUGUGAGAAAAUAGGUAUAUAUAGCAAAGAUUAUUCAUUAAAAUGAAGUCACCUGUGCACUGCAAUGAAUUUAAAUCUAGCUAUAUGAUAUUUUUCCAUUUUGAAAACUAGCUUGUUAUAACAAGCAAAACACAAAACACAAAAUCUUCAAAAUCCUAGAUCUAAAUAUUUAUUUGAACUACGUUUUGUUCUCAGUGCAUGUUUGUUCUUAAUAAAUGAGCUAGAGUUGCUGCAAAACUUUCUGUCGCUCUGGUUUGGCACGUUUGCCUUUGUUGCUGGCUUCUGGCUUCCGCCGUCAGACGGUCGUGCGUGCUAAUGAGUAAUAAACCAGCAUUGUUGUUGCCGGGGGUGGGGUUGAGCCAGCCGUAUCAACACCGCCACCCCCAUCCCCACCCCUGCCACACCCGGUGGCCUAGACAAGCGGUAGACUUGAAUGUCAGGCGAACAGACCCAUCGAGCAGCAUUCGCUGUCCCAAAAGAGAGAAUGCGAAACCGGGGUGGGGUGGGUGGAUGAUGGGUUGGUUGGGUUGGGUUGGGUUGGAUGGGUGGCUGGGUGUAGUGUCAGUUGCUGGGGAUGGUAUCUGUGUGGAUGCCCUCUGUUCCGCCUCGGCUUUCGCGUUAAUUAGUUUUGAGCGCUUUCAUUAUGCAGCUUCAUGUGGCAGGCGGACGUGGCGCAUGGACUUUUGUUCGGUGAGUGUGAGGGGGGCGAGGGGGAGUACAGGAUACGCCAUGUCCAUGUCCAUGUCUCUGCUCCGGAGCGAUUCCAUCUUUCGCCAUUUCGCUAAUGAGCUUUUUAGCUGACUAACCAAUUUGGCGUAAUUACAUUUUUCUGAUGCUCAGAUUACUUUUUAAUGGUAUUUCUCGAAAUGCAGCUGUCAGCUACAUGGAAUUUAAAUUUAAAAAAACUGCUCGUUGAAUGUAUCUUUACACUGAAACAAAUACUUUUUUAACUUUUGAGAAAUAAUAAAUAUAUAUGUAUAUAUGGUAUGUAUAACAAAUAUUUUACAGGGAAUAAGGAAACAUAUCAAGGAAAUGUAUUACUUUCAAGACAUUUCUUAGCUUCUAUAACAUAUAUACACAUACAAAAUAAUGACAUAUGUAUGUACAUAUGUACAUAUGUAUAAAAAAAUAAAAAAAAAUUACAGAACCGUUUGUUUUAUUAGUAAAUGCCAUCAUUGGGAAUUGCAUUAAAGAGUAAGUGCAUGGUGGAAAUCAGAGUGAGUAAACCUCAUAUGCAGGGUAUUUCCCAGUCUCAAUUGAGAAACCCCAGAAUCG
ensembl:ncRNA lncRNA:CR44366 long non-coding RNA:CR44366